GAUGAAGAACGUAGCGAAAUGCGAUAAGUAGUGUGAAUUGCAGAAUUCAGUGAAUCAUCGAAUCUUUGAACGCAUAUUGCGCUCUCUGGUAUUCCGGAGAGCAUGCUUGUUUGAGUAUCAGUAAACACCUCAACUCCCUUUUCUUUUUUGAAAUGGGAGCUGGACUUGAGUGAUCCCAACUCUUUUCUCACUGGAAAGUGGCGGGUCACUUGAAAUGCAGGUGCAGCUGGACUUUUCUCUGAGCUAUAAGCAUAUCUAUUUAGUCUGCCUAAAAAACAGAUUAUUACCUUUGCUGCAGCUAACAUAAAGGAGAUGAGUUCUUGUGCUGACUGAUGCAGGAUUCACAGAGACAGCUUUGCGGCUGACUUUGUAAACUCGAUCUCAAAUCAAGUAAGACUACCCGCUGAACUUAAGCAUAUCAAUAAGCGGAGGA
rnacentral:misc_RNA from 1 species